AGGCGCCCGCCCCUCAUGUGGAGCCAAUCGGAAGUCGAGGUGAGGCUGCCCGGUCUUACAGGAGUGCGCACGCCCAUGCGGGUGACGGAAACCGCUGCAGAGCCGGCACUUCCGCGUUGACAGGCUCCCGCCUGGCUGCAGUCAUCUAUAAGCCCGAAGACGACUUUUAAGCCGGGCGCGGUGGCUCACGCCUGUAAUCCCAGCACUUUGGGAGGCCAAGGCGGGUGGAUCACGAGGUCAAGAGAUCGAGACCAUCCUGGUCAACAUGGUGAAACCCCAUCUCUACUAAAAAUACAAAAAUUAGCUGGGCAUGGUGGUGCAUGCCUGUAGUCCCAGCUACCCGGGAGGCUGAGGCAGGAGAAUUGCUUGAACCCAGGAGGCGGAGGUUGCGGUGAGCUGGAUCGCGCCAGUGCACUCCAGCCUGGGUAACAAGAGUGAAACUCCGUCUCAACAACAACAACAACAACAACAACAACAACAACAAAGAUUUCCCAAUCUGCAGGGCCGGGAGAAGCAGGGACCCGAUGCAGCUAGCAGUCGCUGCACACCAGCCUCCCGGCGCCUGGCGGGCAUGAGCGCAAGGUCACGCAGAAGCAGGUCCUCAAUGGCCAGUGCAAGGGCUACCAGCGCCACUGCUACACUGGCAACGUAUUCACCUCGCCUCAGCCUGGGUUCGUGCGACCCCCAACACCUUUCCCAGCCAGGGCCCCGGGGAACCCAGGAGCGUCCUUCACCGCUGCUCAUCCUGGGCAGGAUGCCGACCUUGAGGCUGCCUCCCAUUAAGGAGCUGCACCUCCCCCCCAGCUUGACUUUUGAUGGCUGUUGCAAUAGCCUUAAAGCCUUUGCAAUUUGUAGCUGGGUACUAGGGAGUUAGGAAACAAAGAAAACAUCUUUAUAAAAAUCUAAGGGAUUGGCCAGGUGCGGUUGCUCAGGCCUGCAAUCCCAGCACUUUGGUAGGCUAAGGCAGGUGGAUCACGAGGUCAGGAGUUCAAGACCAGCCUGGCCAGCAUGGUGAAACCCCAUCUCUACUAAAAAUUAGCCAGGUGUAGUGGCAGGUGCCUGUAAUCUGAGCUACUUGGGAGGCUGAAGCAGGAGAAUUACUUAAACCUGGGAGGUUGAGGUUGCAGUGAACAAUGAUAAGGAAAUGAUGCUGUUCUUUGUUUGUUUGCUUUUUGAGACCAGGGUAUUGCUCUGUUGCCCAGGCUGGAGUGAGAUGGUACAAUCUCACUGCAGCCUCAACUUCCUGGGCAGGUGCAAGCAAUCCUUCACCUUAGCCCCCCCCUUUCCCCCACCAAGUAGCUGGGAUUACAGGUUCAUGCUACCAAGCUUGGCUAAUUUUUGUAUUUUGUAUAGAAACAGGGUUUCACCAUGUUGCCAGGCUGGUAUCAAACUUCUAGGCUCAGCUGUCAUCCACCCUCAGCCUCCCAAAGUGCUGGGAUUAUACGUGUGAGCCACUGUUCCUGGCUAUUGCUGUUCUUUUCAAAUGCAUUUUUACCUUUUUUUUUUUUGAGAUGGAGUCUCAGUGUUUCCUACACUGGAGUGCAGUCGUGCAAUCUUGGCUUACAGCAGGCUGGUCUCGAACUCCUGACCUCAGAUGAUCCACCUGCCUCGGCAUCCCAAAGUGCUAAGAUUACAGAUGGAGUUUUACCCAGGCACAAUAUCAACCCACUGCAACCUUCGCCUCCCAGGUUCAAGUGAUUCUCCUGUCUCAGCCUCCUGAGUAGCUGGGACUACAGGUGCGUGCUACUGCACUCAGCUAAUUUCUGUAUUUUUAGUAGAGAUGGAGUUUCAUCAGAUUGGUCAGGUUGGCUCGAAUUGCUGAGCUCAGGUGAUCCACCAGCCUUGACCUCCCAAAGUCCUUGGAUUACAGACAUGACCUUGGCACUGCUCCCAUGAUGAGGUCGGGUCUGUGCUCCUUACCCUUGAAUUCAAGAAUGUCUGUGACUGGCAGAAGUGAUUCAAGCCCACCAGGUACAUUUCAAGUGCUCAGCAGUGCACCUGUGCCUUGCGGCUGCCUUCUGGACAGCACAAACACAGACCAUCUCCAACCUUCCCAGAAAGUUCCACUGCAGGCACUGAGCCGCACCUGGCCACAGCGAUGGAGCUGCCAGAGGGCGAAGCCCAGCCUCACUUUGGUCAACACAUCAAGGACAGGUGCCCAGGGGCAGGUGCCCAGUGGCAGAAAGGUCUUCAGGGACCUCCCUGCCCACAGGCACUCUCUCAAUGCCAUCUCCUGCCUCCGAGCCCAUCCAUGGUUUUCAGCCCACCUUGGCCCCUCUCCUCCACUCCACCCCAAGCCGGAAGCCAUCUGUCCUUCCUCUAAGCUCCUAGAGUCUCCGGGAGGUGUUUAUGGGCUGACUGAAAUGCACAGCAUUGCUCAGAAUAAAGCUCACCAGCCCCUGCUGGCCUGGAGGCCCCGCCUGCCCAGACCCCCACCCCUCUGACCUCCCCACUGGUUCUCUCCACCCUAGCCCAGGUUCCUGUUUGUGGCCUUUGCAGCUGGUGUUCACUCUGCUAAGAAUGCUUUUCCCCAGUGCCCCCAGUUAUCCCCCCACCCCACUGCUUCUGCCAGGUCUCUCAAAUUUCACAUCAGAAUGUCUCUCCAGAACAUUCUAGCUAAAAGAGCUCAGGCAUACGCAGACAGACACACAGACACACACACACACGCACACACACAGACAUACACUUUCACACAUACAAACACACACACUCACAUUCUGAUGCUCACACUCAUUCUCACACACACCCUACAUGCACACCCCACAGGCAUACCCCCUCCAUAGACCCCACAGGCACACACUCACACCCUCACACUCCACAGGCACACCCCCAUCCCCAUACCCCACACACACACUUAUACACCCCCUGCACACACUCACACACUCGGAUACAACCCAAAGGCUCACUGCACUCUGGGCAUGGGGCUGUUCCACCGCUGAUGCUGGAAGCCACCCCCGGCAGCCACUCCCAGGAUCAGGGGCCUGAACUCCUCUCUUCCCUUACCUGGCUGUGAUGAGUUUCUGAGAGUCAGAGCCCUUGAAUGGGGCUCCCAGUCCUAUGUUUUGGCUUCACCGUCUGUAGGAAACCUGUGUGGCAGGAGGACAGGUCACUGGUCUCAGGAUCAGACGAGCUAGGCUCUAGUCCCGAUGCUCUCCCUGACUGGCUGUGUGACCUGGAGCAAGUCACUUAACAUCUCUGAACCUCACUUUCCUACUCACUGAAAUGUGGGAGUCAAUGUGUUGAGCAGGGUUUGGUGAAAAUGUUUCUCUCCUGGAUCCCGAGUGGUGGUGUAACUCACUACACAUUCUCUGGAAGGGGAUUUGGUAACAUGAAUCUAGAGUAGGGGGUCUUUAACUCGGGUGCCCCUAAGAGCCAGGUAGGUGUUGUAAUAGAGAGCUCAUUAACACAAGGGCAAGGGCAGCUCUGAUUUUUGUGGGGUUUUCUUGAGACAGAGUCCUGUUCUGUCAUCCAGAGUGAACACACCCCACAAACACCACACACCCCACACAUACACCACACACACUCACACCCCACACACAUCACACACACACCCCACAGACACCACACACACACCUCGCAGACACACACCCCACAGACAACCCACACAUGCUCACACAUCUCACACUCACCCCCCCACACACACCCCAGACACAUCACACAUGCUCACACACACCCUAUAGACACAACCCACACACAUUCACACACUCCACACACACCCUCCAUACACCCCCUAGCACACCCCCACACCCCACACAUACCCCACAGACACACCACACACACACCUCACACACCCCACAGGCACCCCACAAACUCCCUCCACACUCACACACCCCACAGCACACCCCACACCUCAUACACACACACCUCCCAGACAUACCCCCCCACACACCCCUACACACACCCCAUACACCCACACCACACACACCCCAUACACUCCACACUCACACCCCACACACCCACACACAAUCACAUACCCUACACAUACACACCACACAGACACACCCCACAUGCCCCCCACACACUCAUAUACCCCACAGACCCUCACACAUCCCCCAUACCCCCACACACUCACCCCCCACACACACCACACACCCCACACACACCCUCCACACACCCCACACACACUCAUACACCUGACACACCCCCACACACACACCCACAGAUACCCCACACACACACCCCACACACACACACUCACAAACCCCCUGCAAUCUCAGCUCACUGUGGCCUCGAUGUCCUGGGCACAAGUGAACCUUAGCCUCUCGAGUAGCUACAGUGCACCUCAAUACCUGCUAAAUUUUAAACUUUUUUAGAGAUAAGGUCUUGCUUGUUGCACAGGCUGGCCUCAAACCCCUGGCCACAAGCAGUCCUACCUCAGCCUCCCAAAGUGCUGGAAUUACGGAACUGAGCCACUGCAACUGGCCUGAUUUUAAAGAAAAAAAUUGGCUGUGUGCGGUGGUUCAUGCCUGUAAUCCCAGCACUUUGGGAGGCUGAGGUGAGUGGAUCAACCUGGGGUCGGAGUUAGAGACCAGCCUGACCAAUAUGGUGAAACUCUAUCUACUAAAAAUACAAUAAUUAGCUGGGCAUGGUGGUGUGCACCUGUAGUCCCAGCUACUCGGGAGGCUGAGACAGCAGAAUCGCUUGAACCUGGGAGGCGGAGGUUGCAGUGAGCCAAGAUCAUGCCACUGCACUCCAGCCCGGGCAAGACAGAGCAAGACUUUGUCUGGAAAAAAAAAAAAACAGAAAAGAAAAAAAAAAAAAUUUUUGAGGUAAAACUCACAUAGCACAAAAUCCAUCAUUAUAACUAUUUUAAGUUGUACAAUUCCGUGGUGCUUAAUGCAGUCACAGUGUUGUGCUACCAUCAGCAGUAGCAGGUUCCAGAACAUGCGCAUCACAUGAAAAGGAGACCAGUAGCCCUUACGCAGUCACCCCUCAUUUCCUCCUCCCCUCAUUCCCUGACGGCCACUCAUCUCCUUUCUGUCGUUAUGGAUUUACCUAUUCUGGCCAUUCCAUAUAAAUGAAAUCAUACCA